CUUUAAGAGCAGAAGGGGUGGAGGGUUAGGGUUUGGCUGAAAUAUUCUGUUCUUCCUCCUCUAAAGUCUUGCUGCUCAGCAACUGCUUGGGAUGGGUCUACAUUAGAGCAGAUGGGUUAUUCAAGAAAGGGCAUAAUACCCAAGCUGAUGAUCGAAUCCCCCAUGGUCCAGAUGAAUUUGGCCUUCGGGUUUCUGUGCUCUGUCCUAGCACAUCAGUGCAUCUGGUGGCUUGAUCCAUGGCUAGUUAAUGGAGAUGGGCCAUGGCUUAUUCUUCAGUGAGACAUCUUUAAUGUUACAGCAAGGAAAAACCCUGAGUCAUGGGCAUGCCCAAUCCAGCUGUAGUUGGAUGAACUGCCAGGUCAGCUUCAUGUUCUGGCAAAGAGUGGGGCAAAAUCCAAAGAGCUGCCACUAAAACCAGUGCCUGUGGCCAACAUCCCAGAUGUCCUGAGUCUUCUGGGAUGAACUGCAGAAAGAAAACCAGCUUUUCAGCACAUAAUUUGCAUAAUUUUUCAUGUCUUUUUUCAUGUCCAUGCUGCCAUGGCUUAUGAGGAUGUGAGGACACUCUAGGGAUGGAAGUAGAAAUUUAAGCUGUAAUCCUCACAGUUUUAGACACUUUAAAAAUAUCAGUGCAUCACAAGAGUAACUGACCUUUCCGGGUCCCAGAUGCUGUUUGUGUGUGAAAGGAAAUGUCAGAAAGGAUGGGAGAAGUCCUGAUCCUGAUCUCCAUCAAAUUCAACAGCAAAACUCUUAGUGACUAGUGGAAAUGGGACCUUGAAGGAAGUGUCUCCUGCUGAAAUGCUCUGAGGAUAUUUUGAAAACCAAAUUAAUAAAUAAUUGAACCAUCUGCAUCAGAGACUCUAAGUGGAGUGACACAUGGAGGGUGUCUGUAAAUGGAACAGCUUCAAAUAUGCAGGGUAAAAUACACAUUGGAAUGGAUUUUUUUCCUUAAAAGACAUAAUUAUCAUUUGGGUCUAUAUUGCAAGCACAAUGAGAGGCCCUGUCUGAGAGAUGGGUUGUUUUCUCCUAAGAAAUGAACACACAAGUGGUAAAAUAUUGCUCCUGCCCUACAGGGGUUACCAUCGUAUUAAUAAAACAGACUGGGGUCAAGAACAAUACCAAGGAAAUGGUUUGCCUGAGGCCACACAGCAGAUCAGCCUCCCAUUUCCUAGAGUCCAGCUGGGCUCCUUGUCUUUUUGACAGAAGACCAUGUUGCCUCUAAAGCUGCUAUCUGUUGAAUCUCCUCCCAUCACCACCAGGCACCUUCUGCCCUGGACUGGAGAACUGCAUUUUAAUUAGCAUCCCUCUUGGGGUUGCAGUAGUGGUUGGAGCUGAUGUUUCACACCAGCAAUCUUUGUAAGAACAGGGCCAUACCAAAAGCUCACAGAGGUCACUUCUGAACUACUGAGUUUAAUAACUUCCAAUCCAUUUUUCAGGUGUCUUAUUUUUUUUUUUCCACUCCUGCAACAUCCUGAGGAAAUGAGUUGCCUAGCUGAUGCGCUGUGGGAUCACUUUCCUGUUAUUGUGUUCAGACCAGGUAUCUGGACUUCCUUUGGUUUAGAUUGGAAGAAGCAGUGAAUAAUUAAUUGUUACGGGUUCUCUUCUUCCACUCUACCCUUAAUUUUAUAUUUAUAUCCUAUAGUCCCCCACUAUUAUUCCUUUGCCAAGUCAAGGUGAUCUAGUUAUUUAGCUGCCUUCUAUCUAGAAACAUAGCAAAGCAAGGUAGUGUAUUUUUGGGAAAAAGUUUCAUUUGCAUAACCUAUAGAUAGCAACAACAUCAGCCUUUGUUUAAAAACCUGAAAUAGAGAGGAAUAUUGAGAAAGGCACUGACAGCAAGAGAAAUGCCUCAAUUGAGAGAUACAGAGGGUGAGAUUUAUCACAUCUAACAUGCAAUGUUCCUGUGCAGACAUCUCUAUCUGAGGCUGUCUCCCUGUGCCCCUGAUUUAGGGGCUCGCCAAGACAGGUGAGAGAGGGCAGGGUUGGAUUGACUUAUUUUUGGGGAGAUGAUUCCUGCCCUGCAGCCCUAAUGGAGGCUGAGGCAGAUGCAGGCACCUGCUUUUUGAUGUGAUGAUACUCAAAUAAGACUCAGGCUGUGAGCUGUAGCAGUAACCUUUAAGUAGCCAUGGCCAAUGAAUUAGUCUUGAUGCUCCCUCACUGUGCCAUAUCUGUUAUUAAUCCCUGAGUAAUCACUGAGAAUAGUGCCCUGGGCCAACUCUGCUUGGUUUCUGGACAUUUCUGGAAGUAUAGAGGAUGCAGCAUGGUCACCUUCCCUGUGCGCCUGGAAAUUUCUCUUCUUGGCUCUCAGUGGCAGAAAUUCAAUCAAGAAAUCUGAAAUGUGAUAUUAUUUUUUCCUGCACAAUCAGGCCGAGUAGAAUAUAAAUCUUUUAUAAAUGCAAAAAUAUUUUUGAUCACUUGACAUCUCAUUUAUACUAAUUGUCUUUGAAUAUAAUUAGCUUUCAUAGGGAUAAAUUUCCUCAUUUUUAGGUUGUAGCUGAAAUUACAUUAUAUGUAUAUAAAGUAGGAGAUGGACUUUCUGUUGCAGUUGAUUUAAAUAUAUCUUUACUGUGUGAAUAAAGCCCUUUAUAUUUCUGGGAGAACAAAAGAAAAUCUGUACCUCACCAGUUCUUUUGGUGCUCUCACAUAAGCAAACACGAACAGCAGCAUUAGCAUGAAGCAGAUGCUAAAUACAUUAAAUACAUGCCAAAGGCUCAGAAAAAGGGUUCUUACGGUAGCAAUGUGAAGUAUUUGCAGUGAUAAAACUAUAAAGGGUUGGAACAUCCCCUUAAAAAAGGGAAGGUUCCACCUGGAUGUUAGAGGAGAUCUUACUGCCAGGGACAGCCAACCCCUAAACCGAGACACCUGCACAAAGAAUGGGACAGUACCAGGGCUGUCCCCAUGUCUGGACAAUUGCAGUGGUGCCAGGAGGUGUAAGUCAUGUAGAACCCACAGCAUCUUUCUCCAGAUCCUGCUCUGGCCAAGGCAAGGCUUGUAGUGGGGACUUUGACCAAGCAAAAGGUUACAGAUGAUGGGAAUCAAACAUGUGGGAGAGCAUGGAGAAUUGGAAAAUAGUGGGUGCUGCUGUAUGGCUUACAUCAUUUCACUUUUCUCUGCUUUAUCUCAUGUGGUUCUGUGCGUCCAGGCGAAUUCACAAGAGGAGAGGAACCAAAGGGUUCAUUUCCACCAGGAUGUAACCAACAUAUCUCUUGUCUCAGCACCACCAGCUCUCACCACAUAGGAGCACAAGCAGAGUCUCCUGUUGUUAUCUCUACUCAAAUCCUUUGUCUGCAGGGGUGGCGAAGCAACAUUUGUGAAAACAAUGUCUGUCUUUUGUGCUCUGUGGUCUUACAGCCUUAAUCCUGAAGAGUAAGAAGUGGGUUUUCAAGGGCAGCUUUCACCCCAAAACCCCUGACACCAUCCCCUGUCACAACCCCAGACUGUGGGUUGGAGCCAGGUGGCCAUCACAGCCCCUGUGGGAGAUUUGGGAUGGGGAAUGUGGAUGGCAGCUCUGGCUUGCCACUUUGGCUGAUUUGCUACUGGUUUAAUCCUUGUGCAAUGCCUCCUCUCUGCAUCCAGGCAUUCAGUGAAUGUAAAGCAGAAAUAAAAGAGUUCCCUCAUUAAAAUCUGGUCACAGAAAUGAAGAUAAUAGCCCUGGCUUUGCGAGGUGGAUACGCGAGCCCCAGUAAGGAGGGGGAGAUGAUAGAUGGAGUUAAAUUUACCUCCUGUCCCUCAGACACCCCCUGCUCCUAUGUGGCUGCCGUCAGCACGUAACGUCUCCGGUGGUAAUGAAUGACUGACAGCACCGCACGAUUCCCUGCCGGAGAGCUGCCGCUCAGGGGCUCUCGGGAGGAAACGGGAGAGGAACCUGAUUGAAAAAAUAACCCCCGAUGCCGGUCUCUGGUGAUUUGCCUCCCCACCCUCAUCAGCAGCUCCAGACACUCCAGCUGAGGGCUUGCGGCCUGGAGUCGUGUGGCCGGGAGCACGUUUCUGCCUCCUCUUCCUCAGCGCAGACACCUCCACCCCUGUGGGCUGAGCCCUCUCCUAAAUCCUGGCUGAAGGUUCAGCUCCUCUCCUGACAGUGAGCUGGAAAGGAAAUUAUUUUUUUCCCCAUUUUCAGACCCAUGAGUUCACCAAUGCUGUGAAUGUUUGGGGUUUUCAGAAAGGAAGCGAAAUCUGAGCGCUCGGGGGAUAAAUUCCUGGAAAAGUCAGGCAGCGCUUAAUUUUCAGACCUGAAGAAAGGGAAGGAACACAAUGGAAGCCUAGAUCUUAGAAAAACCUGUUCAAAGAGCCUCUAAAAAGGCUUUCAGCCCCAAGAUUUAGCACCAGAAAAGGAUGGCUUUUAAACACACUGAACUCUAGAGACCUGCCCUGGGUAGUGUUGUUAGGGGAAAAAAAAAAAAAAGGCAGAAAGUUGGAGAAGAUCCUAACAGAAGGAGUCCAAAAACUGCUGAGUUCAAGUCUGGAGCCCUCCCCAAAGUGCUGCCCACAUUAAAUCUGUCUGAGUUGUUCUGGUAAAAGGGGAGAGAGGACGGCUUCCUCCUUUCGUGGCUGGGGACAAGGAUGGGGGCGAUGCCCAGGCUGAUGGAUUUGGGGGAUACAAGGUGAUUGUCCGCAAGGUGCUCCACAGACACCUUCUUGUCUUGCCACAAUUGAGCGAUGGCUUUCCAACCACCCCCUUUACAGCCCUGUUUCAGCACUAAGACCUCAGCACCCCGUAUCUAGGUAUGGAGGGUGCAGGCCUCUCAGGAGAGCAGGUGACCCAAAUUAGGCCUUUUUCCCCUGAUCUCACACAUUGCAGUGAUGGUUUCCAGCUGGCUCUGAGUGAUUCACCAAGAUCCCACAGGUGGUUAGGGGAUAGUUGGGUUCCUACCCUUGUUUCCUCUUUAAAUGAGCACCUUAAAUUAAUGUUAACACAGGACAAUCACCUCCAACAUUGACCAUUGCAGAGCCAGGAUUGAACAAAAUCAUUUAAAAUCAAUUUCUCUGCAUGCCAUAAGCUGGGUCCAGUCUGUGAUACCGGCACCAGGAUGCAGAGCAUGCAAAUGAGAUCAUUAGCCCUCAAAUGAAGCAGGGCAUGUGCUCUGCUCCAGAUGCUGCAGCUGAAACAUUGCAGAUCUCUGGUCAGCGUUUGGCUUUCCACGUUGGCAAGUGUCCAUCAGUCACGAUGCCAGACGGACAACUUGACAAGUCCUCUCACAGCAGCAUCCCCUGGCCACAAAACAGCUCACAAAAGUGCCUGGCCACUGGUGCCUUCGACUGCAGCAUCUCUUCAGUUGACUGGUGAAAAGAGAGCAUGCACUUGGUAGAAAAUAUGGUCUACGGUGACUGUAAAUACUGCGUGAAUUAUUAAUUUGCUGUUUACUAACUUCAAUAUUUUUCUAUUCAAUUAUUCUCUAUAGAUAGAGCAAGGGACAGCUCUGAU